CAUAAGUGCGUUACAGGACUUCUCUCACACCCACGCACUGGGGUUCAGACUGGGAAAGGGACAGCCGGGUGUACGUGGGUCUCUAACCUGUUCUUGUCUGGCCCCAACUCUCCCUUCCCAGGGCCUCACCUUAACCCCUAUCUGCCUCCGGCACACAGAGGAAGAUGUGCUAUCUAGGAUGAAGUUAAUGUCGGCAUUUAAAUUUAAAAACCAGAACAGAGCAGCAAGGGGAGUUGGAGAGAAGCGGGGCAGUGUGGACGGCAGGAGUCCGAGGGUGGCAGACGCGGCUGACUGAGGCUCCUGCCUGCGUCCUGCUGUCAGAAAGUGCUUGGCAGGAUGGGGCCGGGCCUCGGAGCCCAGCUGUGCCCGAGGACGCCGGCCUGGGACCCGCCACCACGGUCUCUCGUGCGUGGACAGCAGCCCCCACACCCCGUGCUGCAGGUGGAUGGUCAGGCUGCCGCCCAACCUCAGGGUAAGUGACGAGGACAGUCUGAAGUCCUGCCCAGAGCUCUGCAUCCUAGACUAGCACGUAACUCAACAAACGUUUAGGCAUCUAGAGCGGAAGGUCAGGGCGAAGGCCUCUGCUUCCUGCCCUCCAGCGGCACAUCUGAUGGGAAAGACCAAUAAGAACUAGGAAGACAGGCUGUUCCCUGGGGUGGGGCUGGGAUGGGGCCUCCUCCUGCUUCCCUUGCUGCUGGGGGUAUUUUGCUCACGCCCUUGGGUUUUCUGGCCGACAGAAGGGUUCUGGGGUCACUGGACACCCUGGUGUGGGGGAUCCGGCCCAGGAAGCGCCUCCAGUGCACCCUGCAGCCGUGUGGAGGCGUGGUACCCUCCUCAUGCCCAGUGAGAGGAACCCCGGGGUCAGAGCGGCAGGGCCCUGGCAGGGCUACAGCAGGCCUGGAUCUGCUGGACGCUCCCAGUUUGCUUCCGUUUCGUUCUUCUCAACAAAGGCAGCUCAUUAAUGUAAAGUGUUUUUAUAAAUAAUGCAUCUUCCACCGGCCCCAAGUCCUGAGCUGGAAUUUGGGAUGUGGGCGGGCAUCAAACACUUUCACUUGCAGACCACACAGGGACAGGCUUGAUGUCUGAAGCUUCGGGCCACUGCUCACCUUAAACGGCUCAUUAGGGACUUACUCACCAGGAGCCCAGGCCAUGCUGCUCAGAAGGAAGCUGAUGAGUGCUGUGAGCCUGUGCUGCCCAGCCCACCCGGCGCUCCCGCCUGGCCCCCGGGGUGCUGUCUGUGAGUCUGGGCCUUUGCCCGUUUGGUUGGUUGCGGGGGUGACCAGGGCUGACUUAGCUGGUACAAACCUCCCCAAAGGGUAGGCUACUUCACUGUCUAGUGGGGCUACUGGCCUUUGAUGAACAAGUUGAGGGUCGCUGCUCUCGGCACAGGUCUCGAGGUGCCACCUGGCAGUGUGGAGUGGGCAGGGGCCAGGCGCAGUGGCCUGGAAACGACUCCUCUUACCUGCGGGACGAGCGGGUGUGCCCAGGAGGGGCCAGCUGGCUGCAGACCCAGAGCGAGUGCAGCAGCCCCCUGGCAGGGCCACCUCAUCGCAGCAGGUGACGUUUGUUCUGAAACUGAUUCUAACUCAGGCAGAUGAUAAGUCAAGUAGAUGCACUGGUUAGCCCUCCUUCUAUCAGGAACUGCAGUGACUAAGAGGAAGUAGGCAGAAAUCAAUGCAAAGCCAAAUAUUUGAAGGAAGCUGCUGUCAGGGCUUUGAGGGCCUCAGGCUACAGAGGGAGAGACGGGCAGGGCCGGUGCCCAGGUGGCGGGUGAGGCCACUUACCCAGGACUCAGGUGGAAAGUGGGAUCUCAUCCUACACCGCCACACCGCCAAGGGGGAAGAGUACCAGAACUCGGCUUUUGGACGAAUACGGCAAUUUGACACAACAGCAGUUUGGUAGGGUUACAAAAGGGCUGUGUAAUGGAAAUCUAAUAGGAGAGGCCUGGGGGAGACAUUUCGCAGCCACGAUAGACAUGAAUUAUGGAUAAGGAAACGGAGUAAGGUUACAGCAGCUUCCAAGUUUGGCCGAGCACCCUCUCAGGGAACGAGUUAUUGCUGGACUUUAAAACAAUUCCAUUAUCUUAUGGUCCAAGGGACUGGAAAGUUCUCUCUGUGCUUCGCUAAUGGGAGUCGGGUCCCGUAUGGCCCGACCCUGUCACUGAGCUGAACCUGUCCCUCCUCGCUGCAGGGCAAGGAGGCUGCGCUGUGCUGUGAAAGCACAGUGGUUUACACAGGCUGCUGCAGAGUUAAAAAUACAAGUCGCGUUGGCAAGGGUUCUGCAAACACCUGCUUUGCAAGCUGUCGUCCCACAGUGACCUUGGGGAGGCCUUGGGGAACGGAGUGGGAGGGGCCAGGGUUUUAAGCACACUUCCCAGGGCAUUAGGGUUGCCUUUGUAUCUAGGAAUUGUGAGCAUGCCAGCAGGGGUCCCUGAUGGUGCGUGAGCUGGGCCCCAAGGGAAAACUAAUGGCAGCACCCAUGGCUGCCGGGCCCGCUGACCCGCUGGUGACCUCGUGGGCACAGACUAGGUCUGGUCUGCACCCACGUAGUUCAGGGGCAGCAGUAAGGUCUCGGGAUGUGCUGAGCAGCAGUGUGCAGCCACCCCCACCUUAGAGCAGUGAAGGCAGCGUCUGUCCCAGCAGUGGGAGGAAGAGAAGCUGCGGCAGGACAGCUCAGUUCCGGGUGGGGCACCUCCCUAGGGAAAGAGAAGCCCAGGUGCCGGGCCAUCGGAAGCCUGCUGCUGGAAGCCCUCGCUCGACACCGGAGGCUGAAAGCGAGCCGGCGCCACAUGGCACCCGCGGCAGCGCAGCCAGAGGGAGUCUGCCACCGCACAGUGGAGGCGGCCCGUCCAAGUCGCUGCAGGCCCUGCACCGCCGCCAGACCAUAGCAGCCGAGCCCACUGACCUCCUGUGCGUGGCGAAGUUGUCCAGGUCGGCACUGCGCACCACCCGGUCGUAGGGCACGUUGGCCGUGAUGAGGCUGUGGCUGGUGAAGGCGAGGUGGCGGACGGGGUGUCUGGAACACAAGGGGAGAGCACUUUGCUGAAGGUAAGGGGAAAAAUGUCCAGUGCAAGCGGAGACCUGCCAUCAGAGAUGCCCGCCUAGUCAAGAUGAGUCAGCACCACAGUGCUGGGAAGACCCGGCUUCACCAGCACGGCUCACCCGAGGGCACGCAGCUGCUCGGAGAGAGAAUGAGACCUGGAGUGCAGGCCUAGUGAGCUGCACGCAGGGGAGGCACUGCUAGAGCCAGGUGGACCGGAGUUUCCUCACCUGAAAAUGGAGAUCACAGCAGCUGGCUCUCGGGGUUACGGUGAGGACUGUAAGCCCCAGAUGGCAUUGAGCACAACACCUGGUUCAGAGGUUGAACUAGUGUCGUCAUUACUGUUAGAACUAGAGGUGCCGAGCAGCAGCCUUACCUGGAAUGCACCUCCCACAGCUUCUGGUUCAUCCGAUAGUCCCACACGGAGACCAGGCCCUCCUCGCCUCCACUGACAACUUUCCAGUCGUCCAUCUGCACGGCGGAGACGCCAAGCUGGUGUGCAGAGAGCGACAGGGCGAUCUUGUUGGUGCGGAGGUCAUGGAUCCUCACCCUGGAAGGCCCAAGAUGAGCAGAGGUUAGAGUGAAAGCCUGAAAUGACAAACCCUCCUGGGUUGUGCUGGGGUCUAGGCACAACAGCCCUAUGAAGACAGAGACCAUAAAACCCUGUGGUUGCAGAGAUUUAAACAUGCUAGAAAACGUUACCUCCUUGGUACGCCGCCACACAGAGGAGGCCCAGACGCAAGGCAUGAACAAGUGAAGAGCCCACAACAGCUUAGCUGGGAGGAUUUAAGAGCACCCAGAACCCAUCCAGUAGGUGCCUGUCACUCAUUCUAUCUGCUCAACAGGGAGACGCCUGCCCUGGGUGCCCGUCCACAGAGGAAGGUGAACUCCGCCUCCACAUGGGCAUCGGCUGCCCUAAGGAAAAGGACUCAGAGUGAGCAACCUGUAGCUAUUUGGAAAGAAAGUGCUGCAGCACAAUCCCAGAGGACUGUGAGGAGCCAACACACAGACCACGCAGUGACGCACAGAACAAACACUGAGCGUAGCAUAAGAGGACAGCCGGCUUAAGACCGAACGUGUCUGCCGGGCAGUAGAUACACACAGAGCAAACCCACCUAGAAGAGUUCAAACGGGUCACAGAGCAAAAUUCAAUAUAUGCUACACACAUGCCAUGUUUGCAGGUGCAAGGAAGAGGCAGCAAUUUUAACACCAGAAAAGGGAUUUCAGAGCACAGAGAUGAGAUGAGAGUACUUUAGAAUGAUGAAGGGUACAGUUCACUAAAUGUUCAGUAAAACCUGCCUGGAAAAAAACCCAGAAAACCUACAUGGACCUAAUUUUUUAAUUUGGUUUCUUUGGUCAUUAUAAUCUGUUCAGGUUUUCUAUUUAAUUGUUUAAAUCUCCAAAUCUGAAGAUACAGAUGAUGCAUGACUUUCCAAGAAAGACCCCUGGGGGCAGACGGCCCCAACAGAAGUAACAAAGAGUACACUGGGGCAGCUGUCCUGCACAGAGAACCAGAGCACCUGGCCUGCCUGGGAGGAGGCCCCCGGCUGCGGCACUGCCCGCAGGAGCGGAGGAAGCUUCCAGACCUCCAUAGAGCCAGCACGCUCUUCCAAGAAACCGACGAGGAGAGCACGCAGGAAGGCAGCAAUCGAUCGGCACCAAGGCUAAGACCUGAAUGAAAUAUUAACUAACAGAAUCCACCCAGCUCCUGUGAGCACAAUUCACCUACUGUUGUAACAAACAAGAAAAAAACACAUGGUCACUCCCAUGGAUGCUGAAACGAAAUCUGAUGAAAUAUAAUAUUUAUUCCUAAUAAAAAGUCUUUAAAAAAUAGUGACCUAUA